UCGAUCGUAUAAGUGAAUAAUCGUCCGUACAUGCCGCCCUCCAAAACUUGGUGCAGUAAGAAGCCAUCCUUUCUGACGGUACCUGACAAGAACAACUUCAGAAUAGCUUGGGAUGGGUAAACGACAUAUUUUGGAUAGUUUAAACGGUCGCUACCCGAACCAUGCUAUCAAUACCAGGAUGCAACUUAGGUAUGCGUCUCCACUCUGUGGUGGUACCCUGACAAAUCUGACAAUCACGAUGUCACCGACCUUUAAAUUGGUUUCUUUCUGUCUCCAUUUGGGACGUGCUAGUAGGUGUGAGAGCCAGUAUGAACACCAUCGUCGUAGGAUCCGUUGUCCGUCCAGAAAUCGAGUGUUAAGGGACUUAUCUUGGUUGCUCGUACUGCCAGCUUCGAGUCUUCUCCGCUGUCUCGGCUGUCUUCACUAGAAACGAUUUACUGUACCUGGUGUAGUUUAAAUACUCCCCGAUUGCACUUGCAAACUGCUGACUUACUUCUGUUUGCUGCUAAAGUUUUGUUCCAAGGCGUGGAAAUUUAAGGCGAUCAGUCUAGAUAGUCCGAGAACUUGAGAAGGAUCAUAAACAGUUUUGAACGGCAGGCGGACCGUGUGAUGGUGUAUUGGUUGACGAACAUGGGUGU